GAGGUCUAGAAGGAGUCAUAGUUCCACUAAUCAGGAGGUCUAGAAGGACUCAUAGUUCCACUAAUCAGGAGGUCUAGAAGGAGUCAUAGUUCCACUAAUCAGGAGGUCUAGAAGGAGUCAUAGCUCCACUAAUCAGGAGGUCUAGAAGGAGUCAUAGUUCCACUAAUCAGGAGGUCUAGAAGGAGUCAUAGUACCACUAAUCAGGAGGUCUAGAAGGAGUCAUAGUUCCACUAAUCAGGAGGUCUAGAAGGAGUCAUAGUUCCACUAAUCAGGAGGUCUAGAAGGAGUCAUAGCUCCACUAAUCAGGAGGUCUAGAAGGAGUCAUAGUUCCACUAAUCAGGAGGUCUAGAAGGAGUCAUAGUUCCACUAAUCAGGAGGUCUAGAAGGAGUCAUAGCUCCACUAAUCAGGAGGUCUAGAAGGAGUCAUAGUUCCACUAAUCAGGAGGUCUAGAAGGAGUCAUAGUUCCACUAAUCAGGAGGUCUAGAAGGAGUCAUAGCUCCACUAAUCAGGAGGUCUAGAAGGAGUCAUAGUUCCACUAAUCAGGAGGUCUAGAAGGAGUCAUAGCUCCACUAAUCAGGAGGUCUAGAAGGAGUCAUAGUUCCACUAAUCAGGAGGUCUAGAAGGAGUCAUAGUUCCACUAAUCAGGAGGCCUAGAAGGAGUCAUAGUAGCACUAAU